UUUCAGUAGGGAAGAAGCGUAAGUGACGGUACCUGCAGAAGAAGCGCCGGCUAACUACGUGCCAGCAGCCGCGGUAAUACGUAGGGCGCAAGCGUUAUCCGGAAUUAUUGGGCGUAAAGAGCUCGUAGGCGGUUUGUCGCGUCUGCCGUGAAAGUCCGGGGCUCAACUCCGGAUCUGCGGUGGGUACGGGCAGACUAGAGUGAUGUAGGGGAGACUGGAAUUCCUGGUGUAGCGGUGAAAUGCGCAGAUAUCAGGAGGAACACCGAUGGCGAAGGCAGGUCUCUGGGCAUUAACUGACGCUGAGGAGCGAAAGCAUGGGGAGCGAACAGGAUUAGAUACCCUGGUAGUCCAUGCCGUAAACGUUGGGCACUAGGUGUGGGGGACAUUCCACGUUUUCCGCGCCGUAGCUAACGCAUUAAGUGCCCCGCCUGGGGAGUACGGCCGCAAGGCUAAAACUCAAAGGAAUUGACGGGGGCCCGCACAAGCGGCGGAGCAUGCGGAUUAAUUCGAUGCAACGCGAAGAACCUUACCAAGGCUUGACAUGAACCGGAAACGCCUGGAAACAGGUGCCCCACUUGUGGUCGGUUUACAGGUGGUGCAUGGUUGUCGUCAGCUCGUGUCGUGAGAUGUUGGGUUAAGUCCCGCAACGAGCGCAACCCUCGUUCUAUGUUGCCAGCACGUGAUGGUGGGGACUCAUAGGAGACUGCCGGGGUCAACUCGGAGGAAGGUGGGGACGACGUCAAAUCAUCAUGCCCCUUAUGUCUUGGGCUUCACGCAUGCUACAAUGGCCGGUACAAAGGGUUGCGAUACUGUGAGGUGGAGCUAAUCCCAAAAAGCCGGUCUCAGUUCGGAUUGGGGUCUGCAACUCGACCCCAUGAAGUCGGAGUCUCUAGAGUUUGAUCAUGGCUCAGAAUGCCACGGUGAAUACGUUCCCGGGCCUUGUACACACCGCCCGUCACACCAUGGGAGUGGGUUGCAAAAGA
rnacentral:rRNA from 1 species